rnacentral:lncRNA from 1 species
GUCUGAGCAGAUGCAUUACACGGUAUCGUGAUGUUGGAUUCAAACCAGCAUGGAGGUAAAAGGACAAUUUGUAGAGAGACCCCCUGCUUCCCACACACACACGUGAACACACACAUGCGUGAACACACACAUGCGUGCACUCUCUGAAUCGAACAUGAGGCCUUUUACAUCAGCCCACUCAGGUUCGCAGAGACAGGAAUGUACGUGUAGUAUGAACAUGAAUAACUAGAGUGAUUGGAGUGGCACAUCGGCGGAGCCCGCAGCCCACCGCCCGCCCCUCCUGUAGUUAAACAGCAUUCAGAAUAACUUAUAUGAGUGCCAAUCACUCCAAAUGAAAAGUGCAAAUUAAACUCUCACGCUCAAAUGCAUAAUUAGACCUCUGACUUGGCAGUGAAGCGUGAACGAUUGAGGGUGAAGAGACGAGUGCCCGUGCAGGUUUUUUUUUCUUCCUCUCCUACACGUAGGUACACAAGUAUUGUUAUUGUACUCUGCUGCGGUCGCACGGAGCGAAAUCCAGCCUCAGCUCCCUGCAGGAUGUUGUUCACACAGUCAAAUAUGUAAAAAUACACUUCUCUAAGUUUCUGUUUAUUUUACUCAAAUAAAAUAUUUUAUUCCACAACACAAACGGAUCACAAAUCUCUAAUUGGAUGUUCACGCAUCCGCAGGGAUCACCACCCUCAAUCUCAUGGAUUGUAAAAAAAAAAAAAAACAAGGUUACAAAGUUAGCUCAGGUGUCUCUGCACCAAAAUAAGUCUCCUAUCCAGAACGCUUGUGGGAUAUAAUUUAUGGAGGUCCUUGUAAACAUCUGAGGCUGAUGUGGAGGUCUCAAGAGUUAGAAAUCAUAAACAAAACAAAACAAAAACAUUGAAGUCUCCCUGGAUUACUCUCCUGAUGACCACCUUGAAGUCUAAGUUUUCUUACAAUAAUAGAAAUAGAAGUAAAUACAGUAAAUUACAGGAGCCAGUUAGAUCCACAGCAAGAGAAAAUCUGCAAAAGUCGUCUUCUGGAAGAUACAAAGUUAGAGACGCAGAUGUACAGGACGGGAAUGUUUGCAGAUCAUGAGUCCAAGUCCUCAUGUAGUCAGCUUUUACACCAACAAAUGCUCACGUCUGCAUGCCAGACCAGUGUGCAUGUAGAAUUAGCAAUGUGCAUAAUUAAAAACUACAUACUGUGAUAUUUAUUUGCCUUUGCACUGAUAAACAGUGAUGGAGAAAAGCUGGAGUUCCCUGUAAAAUUUCAAUGAGUGCACAAGUCGAGAACAAAAGUUAGAUUUUUGCUGUUCACUCAAACCAACAGAAGACUGAGUUUUAAAAGUCCUCAACUUAAAGACUUGUUUACCACAACCAGGUACGUCCACAGCUGGUUUACAAUCCUAGAUAGCUAAUAUGAAAAGAUGAUAAGCUAGGAUGGCGUCCUUGAUCACGCCGCUGCAGCUCCUCCAUAUCAAACAUUUCUCCUUUGUUUGCUUCGUGUUACGAAACGUUCCCAGAGUAUUUCUUUCUCCCUCUCACUCAUGACCGACUUAAACUCUGUCCACAAAAUUCAUUCACGGUCCAAAAGACAAUAGAAGUUUGUGCAGAUGUGGUUUAACUUCUUGUUUGUGGUUCGGACGUGGCUGUGAUGAAGCGGCGUGGGACCGGUCGUGGUGAGAUUGAUUUCUUGGAUUUUUCCACUUUUUCUCUGAUUUCUUUAACAUCUUUAUUUAACCCGUAAACCCCACUGUUACAUCUCUAUGCUUGUUGACAGUCCACUGUAGAUCAUAUAAUUCUAUAUUUACUAUUACAGCCAGUAGUGCCCUAAAGUAACCUCGCUUUAUUGUCUAUUUUGGGUUCCUCAGGUCUUUCAGUCCUUUUGGCUUCAGUCUAAAUCCGCCUCGUAACUUCCCGUGAUACAAACUGUCUCAAAUAUCAUUUGUCUUAUUCAUAAUUGUAACAAAAGAAAAAUCACUUCAGUUUGGCUGAAAUGGAAGCAGAGACGCUUUGAGAAAGAGUACUCGGAUAAUUCAGGAAAAACUCAAACUUGAAAUUGUUUCUUGUUAACAAUGAAGCUGAAAUGGUUUCUGGUUAACAAAGAAAGCAUUAUCUUGUCUUUUUCAGCGGCGGAGUGGAUCUCAGCGAAUAGCGAGCCACUGCCUUGGAAACAGAAGCCGUGCAGAGAAUGGGAAGCUGAUUAGAGAGAGGCAGCUUGUCUCCAAUCAGACUCUGUGUCUUGUUUGUUCACUGGGGGCACAUCCAAAAAGCCCUCCACGCUGACCUGGAUGGCAGCACAGUCUAUGUCUCCAUUUGCAGCUGUUACUCCGAUUCAAAGCCAGAGACAAAAAAAGAAGAAGAAGAAGAGAAAUCUGAAGGACUCGAAGAUUAAAAGUCUGGAACAGACCCUGCCUCUGGUAUCACAAUGUGUCUGCCUUUUAUUUAACUAUUGUUACAACCUUUAUUUUUAGC